UAGCUUUAUAUGAAAGGAUGUUGUUGGCUUUGCCUUUGGUUUUAAUUCAACUUUGUUUGCCCUGUACUGCACGGGUAUCACAAGACCUUUUUACAUAACUUGUCCGUUCAUGUUUUUACAAGAGUCACUGGAUGAAUAAGCUUUUAUAUAAUAAUGUUACCCUUUACGUAAUCAUUCACUCACAAUGAGAUUACCUGAGAUUUUGUAAUCGUUGCAUGUAUUAAAUGCAUUGUCCCUGCAUGACGUUACAUCAUGUUAAUAUAAUUCUGUUUACUAUAAUGCUAUAAUUUUCGUUGGUUUAAUUUUCAUUGUAAAUAAAACACCUACAUACGAUUCGUCGUAUUCACGUGAUAAGAUAUAUCACGGUGUAUAUACAUACACAACUUAUAUUAUGUAUCUACAUAUAUAGCCAUAGGUUACAUCGUAAAAUUUAAGUGGGCAAACAACUUAUUGCGUAAUUUACUGUCAUAUGCCUAUGGGUGAAAUUCCCAAUUCGUCAAGCAAACUUUAAAUUGUAUGCUUUAUAUUCCGUGUUUUCUACUGUUGCUAAGUCUAAGAGCAUACCGUAGUUUUUUUUAUCACCCACUGCCGGGCACUGCUUUCAUAUCGAUAAGUUUCCUUUUAGGAUAAAAAUAUUUACUGCCUACGCAUAGUUUUCACUGAUAUAUUGUUUUGAUUGUUUUGAUAUCUGAAAUUGUGAGGCGAGGACGUUAAAUUACGUGGGUCGAGAAGCAUCUCGCUGUGCUGAGUUGAGAAGUAAACAAACUUCACAAUAUACAGACAUGUAAGGAAGCGCAUGCAUGUGUUUUGUGUGGGAAGACAAUAUCCAUGGCAAUGAAUAGUAUGCGGAUUCAAAUAUGUACAUUUAUAGGAUGACAUACAUUUACACUAAUGUGAUCAACUGCUUCAUGUUAAUGAAAUAUUAGCUAGUGUAGUUAAUCCAGUAAUAAGACGAUAGAUUUCAUUUAUAUAAGACUAUAAACCAAGAGCUCACAAGCUUCAGCUCAGCCUCAGCUGAAGGAACAAGGUCAUCUUAGUGUACAUGUCACAUGUGUUAAAUUAAAUAUCUAUAGGCUAUAGCUAUACUCUUAACCUGGAUAUAGGCUUGAGAUGUCUAGACUUCGAUUUCUGAUUUUUUUAUGUAUACAAUUUCUAAUAUAUUUAACUCGUAUACGACAUUUUAAGCUUGGUAGGAUCUUGGUGCCGUUUCGUAUAGGUCGAGAGAACUUGGCAAUUAUACAAGUUCAGACAUGAUCAUAUCAAAGAAUAAUUGCUUUCAUAGUUUCAUAAGGAAACAACUUCCUUUUUGAAUAAACAUCCCCAGGUUCCUUCCUUCCUUUGAAUGCAGAUAACUAUAGACCACAUAAAUUAUCAAAUGGCUGGGUUUCGACUCAAAAAUCCACAUGGUUUGGCAUUUGCCCCUUUUCAGGCAAAACGAUAUAAAAGCAAUUUCGUUCUUGGAGAGAUCACUAGACGCUUGACCUUGUCUUCAUCCGUAAUGAAUUACUUCACCUUGGCGCGCUUGAAGCAGACUACGUCAUCAAAUACAUUUGUACACUUCAUGAAGUCCGUCCAUCAACAUCAAGAUCGGUGUAUGUGCGUACGACUCAUCGCGUGUGUUGUUCAUCGGAAACUCCUUAGCCUUAAGAUUUUACGAAAGGCAACUCGAAGAACAUUCCUUCUAUAUACAAUUGCAAGGCUGAUGGACAUAAUUUUGAUUGUAGAAAUCAUGGCUUUCAAAAUGUUCCUUACGACUACUUCUACGGCCAUUUUUGCGUCCGUCGCAUCCACCUCAGUGAAAACCCGUACAUUUGCGACUGCAGCUUAGUCUGGUUCCUGCGUGAGCAUUCUAAUCGAAGAAAAUGCAUUCCAGAUCGUCUACAAAUGCAGUGUGCAUAUCCUGAGAAAUUGCGGGGAAGAAAUAUAACAGAAUUAAAGGAGGAAGAGAUUUGUGAUACCGAAAGAGUGAGUUUCAAGAAGGUUUGCAAACCUCCUGCCGGUAGUUCUAAUACUUGGAACUGCGAGAACUUGGGAUUGGAUUUUGUCCCGUACGAUAUCUUCCAUCGAAAAACACGUUUAUCACUGAGAGGUGAAUACAUGUGUGACUGUAAUAUUGUCUUCGUGAUGCGGCGUCUGAAGUACGAGUGGGAUAGAAACCUGUUACCAAACAAUGCCAAAAUCAGAUGCAAAGGGCCGGGAAAAUUUUCCCAGAAGAAGCUCUAUACGUUAAAGGAGAAUGAUGUUUGUCCCCAAAAAGAACCAAAUGUCUGCAAGGCUCUUCCAUGUCCUGUAACCUCGAUAUGCGAAGUGACUGGGGCGACCUCUUAUCGUUGUGCAGACCUUGAUGAAUGUUGGACGAAACUGAAUAAUUGCGAUAAAAAUGCGAAAUGUAUCAAUACAGAUCCGGGAUAUCUGUGUCGUUGUAGACCUGGUUAUACACAGUACAAUGAUGGACGAGUGUGUCAAGAUUUUGACGAAUGUUCACAAAAAUCUCUGUGUGCUAAGGAUGCUAAGUGUAUUAAUCUUCCUGGAUCUUACAAAUGCGAAUGUGAUGCUGGCUUCUCUGGAGAUGGAACAUUUUGCGAAGACAUAAAUGAAUGCGUUGGCAGAAAACGCUGCAGCGUUCAUGCAGAGUGCAAGAACACACAAGGAUCAUACGAAUGUACAUGUAAGAAGGGUUACCGUGUCAAAGACUUGAUAUGUGCAGAUAUUGACGAGUGUUCCCAGAAUCCUUGUCCAGUCCAAUCCACUUGUCAAAACACUGUUGGUUCAUACUCUUGUAAAUGUCUUUCUGGAUAUGAGUGGAAACACACCCGAUGUUUAGAUCUUGACGAAUGCAAAACAAAUAUUCAUAAGUGCGACAAAAAUGCUGUUUGCUUCAACCUGGUCGGAGGAUAUAAAUGUCGCUGCAAGGAUGGUUACGAGAAUGUGAACAAUGGAAGACUUUGUGCAAAAAGCAAGACAAGCAAAUACAAAUCACCUCAUAUUCUGUUGAUUUCAACUUCAACCUGCGUGGCCGUUGGUGGUGUUGCUUUGUUAAUAGGUCUGGCUAUCUAUUUUGAAAGGAAAAUGAGGAAGAAAGAUAAAGAACAUUUGCAAAGUGACGAUGAAGGACAAGAACCGCUGUUAAACCAGGAAGACACAGCUAUGGAUGCUGUAUUCAUGUUCAACCCUCAUGCCAACAGAACGCAAUUAACCGCCUGGGAUUAGUUGUGUUUGAGUCUUUCGAGAAGGAAAGAAAUUACGAUGAUGAUCACGUUGAAUGAUGUGAAACCAUCUGUCUUGGUCACGUUAAGGCAGGAAGAAUCUGUUGGAUUACGUGCGCUGUAG
rnacentral:misc_RNA from 1 species